AGAGUUUGAUCCUGGCUCAGGAUGAACGCUGGCGGCGUGCCUAACACAUGCAAGUCGAGCGAAGCACUUUGCUUAGAUUCUUCGGAUGAAGAGGAUUGUGACUGAGCGGCGGACGGGUGAGUAACGCGUGGGUAACCUGCCUCAUACAGGGGGAUAACAGUUAGAAAUGACUGCUAAUACCGCAUAAGACCACAGCACCGCAUGGUGCGGGGGUAAAAACUCCGGUGGUAUGAGAUGGACCCGCGUCUGAUUAGCUAGUUGGUAAGGUAACGGCUUACCAAGGCGACGAUCAGUAGCCGACCUGAGAGGGUGACCGGCCACAUUGGGACUGAGACACGGCCCAAACUCCUACGGGAGGCAGCAGUGGGGAAUAUUGCACAAUGGGCGAAAGCCUGAUGCAGCGACGCCGCGUGAGUGAAGAAGUAUUUCGGUAUGUAAAGCUCUAUCAGCAGGGAAGAAAAUGACGGUACCUGACUAAGAAGCACCGGCUAAAUACGUGCCAGCAGCCGCGGUAAUACGUAUGGUGCAAGCGUUAUCCGGAUUUACUGGGUGUAAAGGGAGCGUAGACGGAUGGGCAAGUCUGAUGUGAAAACCCGGGGCUCAACCCCGGGACUGCAUUGGAAACUGUUCAUCUAGAGUGCUGGAGAGGUAAGUGGAAUUCCUAGUGUAGCGGUGAAAUGCGUAGAUAUUAGGAGGAACACCAGUGGCGAAGGCGGCUUACUGGACAGUAACUGACGUUGAGGCUCGAAAGCGUGGGGAGCAAACAGGAUUAGAUACCCUGGUAGUCCACGCCGUAAACGAUGAUUACUAGGUGUGGGGGGACUGACCCCUUCCGUGCCGGAGUUAACACAAUAAGUAAUCCACCUGGGGAGUACGACCGCAAGGUUGAAACUCAAAGGAAUUGACGGGGGCCCGCACAAGCGGUGGAGCAUGUGGUUUAAUUCGAAGCAACGCGAAGAACCUUACCAAGUCUUGACAU
rnacentral:rRNA from 1 species